ensembl:lncRNA
UUUAGAGGGGGAGCACCCCUUCCGCUUUUUAUUUUGCAGGGGGAGCACCCCUUCCCUUCUUUUUUUAGAGGGGGAGCAUCCCUUCCCUUUAAUUUUCGGAGGGGAAGCGUCCCUUCCCUUCUUUUUGUUGUUUUUUUUUGGGGGGAGCAUCCCCUUUUUUCUUUUUUUUUUGGAGGGGGAGCAUCCCAUCACCUUUUUAUUUUGUUGGGGAGCAUCCCUUCCCUUUAAUUUUCGGGGGGGAGCAUCCCUUCCCUUUUAUUUUCAGAGGGGGAGCAUCCCUUCCCUUCCCUUUUGGCAGGGGCAGCAUCCCUUCCCUUUUGAUUUUGCAGGGGGAGCACCCCUUCCCUUCUUGUUUUUUUGGGGGAGGAGCACCCCUUUUUCCUUUUUUUUUUUUUUGGAGGGGGAGCACCCCUUCCCUUUUAUUUUUAAUGUGGGAACAUCCCUUCCCUUUUUAUUUUUGGAGGGGAGCAUCCCCUCUCCGUACACGUCCCCCCCCAAGGGUGGUGAAGACAUACCCCAGAGGUGCCUCUCCCAAAAUUGUGGGUAGCCCCUGAAUGCUGCCCCAAAUGCGCCCCCUCCAUUUCUGCCUUCCCCCACCCCAUAAGGCCAACCGUCCUCCCAUAACCGCUCCCCACAACCAGGUGUCCCUCCCGUACCCGCUACCCACCCACCAUGCCCACGGGACGGGUGUCCCUCCCGAGGGCUGGGUGCCCCCGCCGCAUGUGCCCCCCCCCCCCAAGGGGUGUGCGUCCCCUCCUGCCACCUCACAGAAUCCCCCAGGGGUUUGGGGGCGACACAGGGAAGGGCCCCACUUUUUGGGGUGCUCACAAAGCGCUGCCACAUCCCCUGCCGUGAACAGCCAAGUGGGGGGGGGGAUACAGGCACACAGGCACCCCACGUCCAUGGGGCAGGGGAAAAAGGAUACCUAAUAGUGCGGGGGAGUUCCUGCCAACCGAAACGUCUCAGCGGGGCGAAGGGAAAAGCAGGAAAAAGAAACCCAGGAACUGUGACCCCUGGUGGGUAUUUAACAAGGUGUCAGGUCGAGGCAUUUUCGGAGCCCUCUAAGUGGAUGUGACACCGGCCCCAUGCCCCGGGCUGGGGCGCAGGAGGGUCGGGCGGCAGGGAUGCGCCCACCGCCGCGAGGUCUCAUCCUGCCCCAGCUGGAAGGAGCUGGGGACCCCCCCCCCCGUGAGCGGUGCCAGCCGCCGGGUGUGGGGUCCCGCAGUGGCGGGGAGGACGGGGCAGGGGUCCCGGGGCCGGCCAGCCUGCCCGGCGCCCCCGCCGCAUGGGAAGCGGGCACGGUUUAAUAGGGCCGGCUGCUGGCAGGAGGACACAAGCGCUUUUGUCUCCGCUCCCGCUCCCGGCACCGGCUGGGGCUGGCAGGGCCCGGGGCGGUUCAGCCACCGAGAGCCGAGCUCGCCACCGGGGCGAGCGGCCAAACCCGCCCCGGCUGCUCGGGGUUUAACAGGCCCUCAGCGCACGCGAGGAAGCGCCCAGGCGGCCGGCGAGGCCGGGUAGGUGUUGGGGAACGGAGCAGGCCCUGUUCGGAGCCCCACGGCCCUGCCUGUGCCCCCUUUUUGCCAGCGGAGCUAGCAGCAGCAGGAGAGACCCUGCCCUUCCCCAGCCGGGGGUACUGGGGCAGCAGGGACGUGAAAGCAGCCGGGCUUCUGCUAGCUAAAAAAAAAAAAAAAAACAGCCACUGCUUUUGGGUCCCUGCUCCGCUCACACCCCCUUGUUCUGCCCUCCCCAGGUGAUGGGGAGCUGUCCUGGCCGUCCCCUCCAGGGACACGUCCCCAUUUGCAGCUCAGCCCCUCGAAGCCACCCCUGGAUCAGAGGCCGCCGCAAGCAAAGGCAGCCGGAUCCCUUCUUCCAGGCCCCGACACCAAAGCCCCAUCUGCGAAAGGGCCGCAGCAGGGAGGAGAUGCUGCU